UUAUUACUUUCUUCGUCCAAAAUUCUUGUCUUAGGUUUGUCUAAAAAUGGAUGUAUCUAAAUACUAAGAUGUGACUAGAUACAUUCAUACAUGUAUAAUUCUAAGAUAAGAAUUUUGAGAUGGAGGAAGUAUUAU
rnacentral:pre_miRNA from 1 species